rnacentral:rRNA from 1 species
AUGAUGGCCAUGCCCCCCUCUUCGACAACCGUGGAGCCGACGGCGGUGGCGCCGGCGCCCCUCCCGCGGCUUCCGAUUCUGAACCCGCUACCGCUGUCACUGUUUGCCGAGAGCGGCCGGGGCGCGAGGCUGGGCCACCACGCCUACAGCCGCAAGAAGAAGUCACUCGGCCUGCUCUUCUCCAACUUCGUGGCCCUGUACGACCGGGAUGGCAUGGAGUUCAUCGGGCUGGACAAUGCAUCUAGGCGCCUCGGCGUCGAGAGGUGCCACAUCUACGACAUCGUCAACGUGCUCGAGAGCGUCGGGAUCCUUGCGAGGAAGGCCACAACAAGGAGCAGGAGCGCCUCCGCGUCAACAAGGAGCUCGGCAACAUCCGCACCCGCUUCAAGAACAAAAAGAAAGGUACCUGCAGGGUGCAUUUGA